UUUAUGGAGAGUUUGAUCCUGGCUCAGGAUGAACGCUGGCGGCGUGCCUAAUACAUGCAAGUCGAGCGAACGGACGAGAAGCUUGCUUCUCUGAUGUUAGCGGCGGACGGGUGAGUAACACGUGGAUAACCUACCUAUAAGACUGGGAUAACUUCGGGAAACCGGAGCUAAUACCGGAUAAUAUUUUGAACCGCAUGGUUCAAAAGUGAAAGACGGUCUUGCUGUCACUUAUAGAUGGAUCCGCGCUGCAUUAGCUAGUUGGUAAGGUAACGGCUUACCAAGGCAACGAUGCAUAGCCGACCUGAGAGGGUGAUCGGCCACACUGGAACUGAGACACGGUCCAGACUCCUACGGGAGGCAGCAGUAGGGAAUCUUCCGCAAUGGGCGAAAGCCUGACGGAGCAACGCCGCGUGAGUGAUGAAGGUCUUCGGAUCGUAAAACUCUGUUAUUAGGGAAGAACAUAUGUGUAAGUAACUGUGCACAUCUUGACGGUACCUAAUCAGAAAGCCACGGCUAACUACGUGCCAGCAGCCGCGGUAAUACGUAGGUGGCAAGCGUUAUCCGGAAUUAUUGGGCGUAAAGCGCGCGUAGGCGGUUUUUUAAGUCUGAUGUGAAAGCCCACGGCUCAACCGUGGAGGGUCAUUGGAAACUGGAAAACUUGAGUGCAGAAGAGGAAAGUGGAAUUCCAUGUGUAGCGGUGAAAUGCGCAGAGAUAUGGAGGAACACCAGUGGCGAAGGCGACUUUCUGGUCUGUAACUGACGCUGAUGUGCGAAAGCGUGGGGAUCAAACAGGAUUAGAUACCCUGGUAGUCCACGCCGUAAACGAUGAGUGCUAAGUGUUAGGGGGUUUCCGCCCCUUAGUGCUGCAGCUAACGCAUUAAGCACUCCGCCUGGGGAGUACGACCGCAAGGUUGAAACUCAAAGGAAUUGACGGGGACCCGCACAAGCGGUGGAGCAUGUGGUUUAAUUCGAAGCAACGCGAAGAACCUUACCAAAUCUUGAUAUCCUUUGACAACUCUAGAGAUAGAGCCUUCCCCUUCGGGGGACAAAGUGACAGGUGGUGCAUGGUUGUCGUCAGCUCGUGUCGUGAGAUGUUGGGUUAAGUCCCGCAACGAGCGCAACCCUUAAGCUUAGUUGCCAUCAUUAAGUUGGGCACUCUAAGUUGACUGCCGGUGACAAACCGGAGGAAGGUGGGGAUGACGUCAAAUCAUCAUGCCCCUUAUGAUUUGGGCUACACACGUGCUACAAUGGACAAUACAAAGGGCAGCGAAACCGCGAGGUCAAGCAAAUCCCAUAAAGUUGUUCUCAGUUCGGAUUGUAGUCUGCAACUCGACUACAUGAAGCUGGAAUCGCUAGUAAUCGUAGAUCAGCAUGCUACGGUGAAUACGUUCCCGGGUCUUGUACACACCGCCCGUCACACCACGAGAGUUUGUAACACCCGAAGCCGGUGGAGUAACCUUUUAGGAGCUAGCCGUCGAAGGUGGGACAAAUGAUUGGGGUGAAGUCGUAACAAGGUAGCCGUAUCGGAAGGUGCGGCUGGAUCACCUCCUUUCU
rnacentral:rRNA from 1 species